rnacentral:rRNA from 1 species
CCUACGGGAGGCAGCAGUGAGGAAUAGUGGUCAAUGGACGCAAGUCUGAACCAGCCAUGCCGCGUGCAGGAAGACGGCUCUAUGAGUUGUAAACUGCUUUUGUACGAGGGGAAACGCAGAUACGCGUAUCUGUCUGAAAGUAACGUACGAAUAAGGAUCGGCUAACUCCGUGCCAGCAGCCGCGGUAAUACGGAGGAUUCAAGCGUUAUCCGGCUUUAUUGGGUUUAUUGGGUGCGUAGGCGGUCGGAUAAGGUAGAGGUGAAAUCCCGAGGCUCAACUUCGGAAUUGCCUCUGAUACUGUUCGGCUAGAGCGUAGUUGCGGUAGGCGGCAU